AUUAAUAUUACAUAUAAAUUAGUCGAUUUUAUAUAAUACAGUCUCUAAGUUAAAUUACGCUUGUAUUAAUUAAUGUAUAUAUAUGUGUGUUUGUAUACGCGUAUAUAGUAUAGCAUAAUAUAUAAAUAUACGUAUGUUUUCAUAAAAAAAUUUAAAUAACUUUAACUUUUAAAUAUUUGCAAAUUGAAAUAUGAAUUUAUUAACGUUAUACUUAUUUAAAAUAAGGCCACGCAAUAAGGCGAAAGUUGCACAUAUUUGUAUAGAAAAUUUGAAUUUUUUCGUUUAUUAUUUAGUACUAUGAAAUGUUUUCUUAUCUAAACCUUUUUAAUAUACGAAAUAGUAAAUUUAGCUUUAACUUUUAUAAGUGCACUUUUGUUUUAAUAAAUUUUCUAUACUUAAUUGUCAAAUUUUCGAUAUGUAAGUAUGUACAGAUAUUUGUAUAAAUGUGUGUAUGUGUUUGUAUAAGUAAAUAAUUUUGGAAGUCCAGGUCCAUAUGGAUUCGAAUUGAUUGGUAGUAACAAUUGAAUUAUGUAUUUAAUUUAAUAUGUUUUCGUAAUUUAAUUUAUCUACUAUUAAAUUCUUGUCAGUAAAUUUAUUGCUCGCUUGGCCUUAAAGCACAAUACUGAGGUUUUAAACCUUAUAACUAUAUAACUAGCAAAUAAAAAAAGUACAAAUAAAAUAAAAUAGUAAAUAUUUUGAAAUAUGUAAGUAUCUAUGCUGCGAUUCUACUGAGCACAUGAGUAUCUACAUAUAUACCUAGAUACAUUCGUCGUCGAAAAAUAUCAUACUUACUGCAGUAUCUACUACGUACAUAUGAAUAUAAAUAUUGCUGUUUUAUCAUUAAACUUAUUAACAAAAUUAUUCAUUUCUUAUUUAAGUAUAUCAGCGUUCGAAUAUGUUUCACAAAAUCGGCUGCAGCUUAUUUUAGUGUUUGAUCGCUCUUAAUAAUUUUUUUUUUUUUUUGAAAUGGUUUCACACUUCCUAGUACAUUUAUU